AUUGAACGCUGGCGGAAUGCUUUACACAUGCAAGUCGAACGGCAGCACGGGGCAACCUGGUGGCGAGUGGCGAACGGGUGAGUAAUACAUCGGAACGUGCCCAAUCGUGGGGGAUAACGUAGCGAAAGUUACGCUAAUACCGCAUACGAUCUACGGAUGAAAGCGGGGGAUCGCAAGACCUCGCGCGAAUGGAGCGGCCGAUGUCAGAUUAGGUAGUUGGUGGGGUAAAGGCUCACCAAGCCGACGAUCUGUAGCUGGUCUGAGAGGACGACCAGCCACACUGGGACUGAGACACGGCCCAGACUCCUACGGGAGGCAGCAGUGGGGAAUUUUGGACAAUGGGCGCAAGCCUGAUCCAGCCAUUCCGCGUGCAGGAUGAAGGCCUUCGGGUUGUAAACUGCUUUUGUACGGAACGAAACGGUGAGCUCUAAUACAGUUUGCUAAUGACGGUACCGUAAGAAUAAGCACCGGCUAACUACGUGCCAGCCGCCGCGGUAACAC
rnacentral:rRNA from 1 species